rnacentral:rRNA from 1 species
UAAGCGACUAAGCGUACACGGUGGAUGCCCUGGCAGUCAGAGGCGAUGAAGGACGUGCUAAUCUGCGAUAAGCGUCGGUAAGGUGAUAUGAACCGUUAUAACCGGCGAUUUCCGAAUGGGGAAACCCAGUGUGAUUCGUCACACUAUCAUUAACUGAAUCCAUAGGUUAAUGAGGCGAACCGGGGAACUGAAACAUCAAGUACCCCGAGGAAAGAAAUCAACCGAGAUUUCCCCAGUAGCGGCGAGCGAACGGGGAGCAGCCCAGAGCCUGAAUCAGUGUGUGUGUUAGUGGAAGCGUCUGGAAAGGCGCGCGAUACAGGGUGACAGCCCCGUACACAAAAAUGCACAUGCUGUGAGCUCGAUGAGUAGGGCGGGACACGUGGUAUCCUGUCUGAAUAUGGGGGGACCAUCCUCCAAGGCUAAAUACUCCUGACUGACCGAUAGUGAACCAGUACCGUGAGGGAAAGGCGAAAAGAACCCCCGGCGAGGGGAGUGAAAAAGAACCUGAAACCGUGUACGUACAAGCAGUGGGAGCACGCUUAGGCGUGUGACUGCGUACCUUUUGUAUAAUGGGUCAGCGACUUAUAUUCUGUAGCAAGGUUAACCGAAUAGGGGAGCCGAAGGGAAACCGAGUCUUAACUGGGCGUUAAGUUGCAGGGUAUAGACCCGAAACCCGGUGAUCUAGCCAUGGGCAGGUUGAAGGUUGGGUAACACUAACUGGAGGACCGAACCGACUAAUGUUGAAAAAUUAGCGGAUGACUUGUGGCUGGGGGUGAAAGGCCAAUCAAACCGGGAGAUAGCUGGUUCUCCCCGAAAGCUAUUUAGGUAGCGCCUCGUGAAUUCAUCUCCGGGGGUAGAGCACUGUUUCGGCAAGGGGGUCAUCCCGACUUACCAACCCGAUGCAAACUGCGAAUACCGGAGAAUGUUAUCACGGGAGACACACGGCGGGUGCUAACGUCCGUCGUGAAGAGGGAAACAACCCAGACCGCCAGCUAAGGUCCCAAAGUCAUGGUUAAGUGGGAAACGAUGUGGGAAGGCCCAGACAGCCAGGAUGUUGGCUUAGAAGCAGCCAUCAUUUAAAGAAAGCGUAAUAGCUCACUGGUCGAGUCGGCCUGCGCGGAAGAUGUAACGGGGCUAAACCAUGCACCGAAGCUGCGGCAGCGACGCUGAUGCGUUGUUGGGUAGGGGAGCGUUCUGUAAGCCUGCGAAGGUGUGCUGUGAGGCAUGCUGGAGGUAUCAGAAGUGCGAAUGCUGACAUAAGUAACGAUAAAGCGGGUGAAAAGCCCGCUCGCCGGAAGACCAAGGGUUCCUGUCCAACGUUAAUCGGGGCAGGGUGAGUCGACCCCUAAGGCGAGGCCGAAAGGCGUAGUCGAUGGGAAACAGGUUAAUAUUCCUGUACUUGGUGUUACUGCGAAGGGGGGACGGAGAAGGCUAUGUUGGCCGGGCGACGGUUGUCCCGGUUUAAGCGUGUAGGCUGGUUUUCCAGGCAAAUCCGGAAAAUCAAGGCUGAGGCGUGAUGACGAGGCACUACGGUGCUGAAGCAACAAAUGCCCUGCUUCCAGGAAAAGCCUCUAAGCAUCAGGUAACAUCAAAUCGUACCCCAAACCGACACAGGUGGUCAGGUAGAGAAUACCAAGGCGCUUGAGAGAACUCGGGUGAAGGAACUAGGCAAAAUGGUGCCGUAACUUCGGGAGAAGGCACGCUGAUAUGUAGGUGAAGGACUUGCUCGUGGAGCUGAAAUCAGUCGAAGAUACCAGCUGGCUGCAACUGUUUAUUAAAAACACAGCACUGUGCAAACACGAAAGUGGACGUAUACGGUGUGACGCCUGCCCGGUGCCGGAAGGUUAAUUGAUGGGGUCAGCGCAAGCGAAGCUCUUGAUCGAAGCCCCGGUAAACGGCGGCCGUAACUAUAACGGUCCUAAGGUAGCGAAAUUCCUUGUCGGGUAAGUUCCGACCUGCACGAAUGGCGUAAUGAUGGCCAGGCUGUCUCCACCCGAGACUCAGUGAAAUUGAACUCGCUGUGAAGAUGCAGUGUACCCGCGGCAAGACGGAAAGACCCCGUGAACCUUUACUAUAGCUUGACACUGAACAUUGAGCCUUGAUGUGUAGGAUAGGUGGGAGGCUUUGAAGUGUGGACGCCAGUCUGCAUGGAGCCGACCUUGAAAUACCACCCUUUAAUGUUUGAUGUUCUAACGUUGACCCGUAAUCCGGGUUGCGGACAGUGUCUGGUGGGUAGUUUGACUGGGGCGGUCUCCUCCUAAAGAGUAACGGAGGAGCACGAAGGUUGGCUAAUCCUGGUCGGACAUCAGGAGGUUAGUGCAAUGGCAUAAGCCAGCUUGACUGCGAGCGUGACGGCGCGAGCAGGUGCGAAAGCAGGUCAUAGUGAUCCGGUGGUUCUGAAUGGAAGGGCCAUCGCUCAACGGAUAAAAGGUACUCCGGGGAUAACAGGCUGAUACCGCCCAAGAGUUCAUAUCGACGGCGGUGUUUGGCACCUCGAUGUCGGCUCAUCACAUCCUGGGGCUGAAGUAGGUCCCAAGGGUAUGGCUGUUCGCCAUUUAAAGUGGUACGCGAGCUGGGUUUAGAACGUCGUGAGACAGUUCGGUCCCUAUCUGCCGUGGGCGCUGGAGAAUUGAGGGGGGCUGCUCCUAGUACGAGAGGACCGGAGUGGACGCAUCACUGGUGUUCGGGUUGUCAUGCCAAUGGCACUGCCCGGUAGCUAAAUGCGGAAGAGAUAAGUGCUGAAAGCAUCUAAGCACGAAACUUGCCCCGAGAUGAGUUCUCCCUGACUCCUUGAGAGUCCUGAAGGAACGUUGAAGACGACGACGUUGAUAGGCCGGGUGUGUAAGCGCAGCGAUGCGUUGAGCUAACCGGUACUAAUGAACCGUGAGGCUUAACCU